UCACUUUCUCUCUCUUUACUAUAGUUUCUGUUAUUGCAAAAGAUCUCUUUCUUUUUUUGUAGUUUCUGUCAAAAUUUUCAAUCAUUUUGCGUUUUGAUUCAUAAAAUAGGUCUUUGAUUCUAUAAUACUUCAGUUUCUGUUACAUUGGAAUUCAGGGUUUAUAUUUUGUUUGUUGAUGAUGAUACUUGAGUAUGUUUGAUUUUAGUUGAAUCUUUGGGCAUCAAUUUUCAUUUUUUUUUGGUGGGGAGUGGGGGAGCGGUGUUGACUAUACUUUGUAAAUGUAUUUUAGACCUUGUUAGUGGGGUUAUGAGUUUUUGAGGUUGAAUUUGAGGUUGUGUUGAUGAUUCUUGAGGUAAUUUAACAUCUGAGGUUCGAUUGAAAAUUCGAAGAGUGGAGGUGCGAGUAGAGGAAUAUAAUGGAGGGAAAUAGGGUUUAUCACUCAAGGGGAUAAUCAAUAGAUUUUCCAAGGAAAUGAAUUCAUUAUUUACAAGGUUUUCGUCUUGUUGCUGGCGAAUUGUAAUGCUGAUAGCAUUUUUCAGUUCAGGGCUAAGUUCCUGUAUCAAAUACAUGGUUGUCUAGGAUAUGGUCAUAUUUGGACUUUGGACCCUUUGAUUCAUAGCAUACAUUUGAUAAAACUAGGGUUUUCACUAGAUUUCUUGUCCGUGCCUAUUAACUAUCGUCUUUGUGGUGUUUAGAUGGGAGUGCAUAUUUGUGCUAGGUUGUGGAUUUGAAAUAGAUAAUGAAAAUCUCAUUAUCAUGAUUGAGUUCGCGUACUAGUGUGAGUGUGCUUAAGCUGCAGAAUGACAUGGGUAUAUUCUGAAUUUGUUAGAACUGAGUCAUCUUUUUUCUUAGUGGGUUAUGCAAAUCUAGAUAGAGCAUGAGUGUUCCUGUUCUUCCCUGGUCUGUGAUUGCUCUCUUUAAGACCGAACCGCCGGUUGGCAACUGGCAUAAGUGGCAUUACUGAUCAUGUGACUUGUUUUCCCUGUUGUAACUUGUAACUACCUUCUCCAAAAACUCGGUCAAAUCUGCUGCAUAUUCAAGAAUUGCUAGCCUUUAUAGGACCAGGAAGAAAACCACCCUUUGCUCUUAAGCACAUAUAAGUACACAACACAUCAGUAGAAUUAAAUCUAGAUAAUCUUUAGUUUCAUAAUUAAGAUUUUGUACCCAUCAGUGAUUUGAUCGUAGUUGUUAGUUGUUAGUUCCACUAAAGGAAUGAAUGAAUGACGCUAUUAACUACUCUUCCCUCUUAUUUCUGAUUUCUGGCUUACCUUAUUCAAUCUCUAUCCAAGGACUGAACUCCUCUUUGUGGUGUAAUAUCGUUUGAUGCUAUUCUCGCGUUGUACCCUACCUUGGAGGAUACAUUUGUUGUAUUAUUUUUGUUUUUUCAGGAAUUGGGUAAUACAGGGACUGUAGACGGUUGCACCCCUAUCUGGUGAUGCGCCGUCCACGCUACUGAUUUUUA